AACUGUCAUGCCAAAAGCAUGAGUUGGUGUUUGAUGUGUGUUUAUAUAUGUUAAGAGUUGUUUUUUUGUAAACCUUGGGAUGACAUUUGUUGUGGUCUUUGAUCUUGCACCAGGCCUAGACCAUAAAACAUCUAGAUAGCCAUCACCAGAGCUGGACACAAGGAAUUUCAUAGAGUGGACAAUAGACUGCCAGACCAGCCCCCUCUGAUCCCCCCCCAGGGGUCUGCCCACUGAGAAACAACUAGUUUAGCUAUAUGAGGGUGUUGGACUAUCC